UACAGAGGUCCCAAGCGUUGUUCGGAUUCAUUGGGCGUAAAGGGCGCGUAGGCGGCCUGUUAAGUCGAACGUGAAAUCCCCGGGCUCAACCCGGGAACUGCGUCCGAUACUGGCAGGCUUGAAUUCGGGAGAGGGAUGCGGAAUUCCACGUGUAGCAGUGAAAUGCGUAGAGAUGUGGAGGAAUACCGAUGGCGAAGGCAGCCCCCUGGGACGUCACUGGCGCUCAUGCACGAAGCGUGGGGAGCAAACAG
rnacentral:rRNA from 1 species